rnacentral:snoRNA from 1 species
AAGCCACAAUACUUAUCAAACUUGUACACUCUCCCAUGCGUCACUGAAGCUCUCUAGACCUUUCUGUUGAAACCCAGAGAUUUCAUUCCUGAUCUU